rnacentral:rRNA from 1 species
GACGAACGCUGGCGGCGUGCUUAACACAUGCAAGUCGAACGGAAAGGCCCUGCUUUUGUGGGGUGCUCGAGUGGCGAACGGGUGAGUAACACGUGAGUAACCUGCCCUUGACUUUGGGAUAACUUCAGGAAACUGGGGCUAAUACCGGAUAGGAGCUCCUGCUGCAUGGUGGGGGUUGGAAAGUUUCGGCGGUUGGGGAUGGACUCGCGGCUUAUCAGCUUGUUGGUGGGGUAGUGGCUUACCAAGGCUUUGACGGGUAGCCGGCCUGAGAGGGUGACCGGCCAAAUUGGGACUGAGAUACGGCCCAGACUGCAACGGGAGGCAGCAGGGGGGAAUAUUGCACAAUGGGCGGAAGCCUGAGGCAGCAACGCCGCGUGCGGGAUGACGGCCUUCGGGUUGUAAACCGAUUUCGCCUGUGACGAAGCGUGAGUGACGGUAAUGGGUAAAGAAGCACCGGCUAACUACGUG